rnacentral:rRNA from 1 species
CCGCCCUGUUUAUCAAAAACAUAACUGCAAGAAAAUUAGUUGCAGCUUUUUCUGCUCCAUGAGUGUUUAAAUAGCCGCAGUACUUUGACUGUGCAAAGGUAGCAUAAUCAUUUGGCUUAUAAUUAAAGUCUAGAAUGAAUGAAUAUAUGGGGAAUAACUGUUUCUUAUAUUUUAAUAGAAGUUAUUGUUCAAAGUGAAAACCCUUUGAUACAAAAUUUAGACGAGAAGACCCUAGAAAUUUUAAUUAAGAUUAUUUUGUUGGGGCGACAGGGUAACAAUUUAACUUACCUAUUUUUACUGGAAAUUGUAUUUAGUUUGACUAAAUUACUCUAGGGAUAACAGCAUAAUUUAGUAUAAGUUGGUGACCUCGAUGUUGGACUAGGAAAGGUGGUUGUUUAGAAAAUGCCCAUUUUGGUCGUCGAACUUCC